rnacentral:sRNA from 1 species
UGCAACGGAUAUUCCGUUGCAAAAGAAAAUUACUUUGCAACGGAUUUGCCGUUGCAAAUUAAAUUUGCAACGGAAAUUCCGUUGCAAUUUAAAAUCAUUUGCAACGGAUUAUCCGUUGCAAAAAAAU